rnacentral:ncRNA from 2 species
GUAUCGACGGCCUGCCUCGGUCCGGGCCAAAAUCCGGAUAAUAGGGAACGCGGUUCGAUGCCGCGACUGCCCCCGCAACUGUGAGCGGCGAGCGCGUCCGGCACAUGCCACUGGACCGAGAGGUCCGGGAAGGCCCGAGGCGCGCGGAGACCCGCAAGUCAGGAGACCUGCCCAGGCGAUCACCCUCCC